rnacentral:rRNA from 1 species
GAUGAACGCUGGCGGCGUGCCUAAUACAUGCAAGUCGAGCGAACAGACGAGGAGCUUGCUCCUCUGACGUUAGCGGCGGACGGGUGAGUAAACGUGGAUAACCUACCUAUAAGACUGGGAUAACUUCGGGAAACCGGAGCUAAUACCGGAUAAUAUAUUGAACCGCAUGGUUCAAUAGUGAAAGACGGUUUUGCUGUCACUUAUAGAUGGAUCCGCGCCGCAUUAGCUAGUUGGUAAGGUAACGGCUUACCAAGGCGACGAUGCGUAGCCGACCUGAGAGGGUGAUCGGCCACACUGGAACUGAGACACGGUCCAGACUCCUACGGGAGGCAGCAGUAGGGAAUCUUCCGCAAUGGGCGAAAGCCUGACGGAGCAACGCCGCGUGAGUGAUGAAGGUCUUCGGAUCGUAAAACUCUGUUAUUAGGGAAGAACAAAUGUGUAAGUAACUAUGCACGUCUUGACGGUACCUAAUCAGAAAGCCACGGCUAACUACGUG